rfam:Gossypium arboreum cultivar AKA8401 contig_3035_9, whole genome shotgun sequence.
ACGACCUUACUUGAACAGGAUCUGUUCUAUAGGCUCGUACCUCUGCAUCCUUUAGUUCAAAGGAGACAGGAUUUCUAGUCUGGUUGAUGAAGUGAGACUGUGUGAUCAGAGCGUGACUGUUGGUCUAGUGAUGCCUUGUUGGCUCACCUGCAUCGUAGAUGAUCGUUCCCAGCUUGCCUUGUCUUGCUGGGAUGGGUUACGCAGUUGUCUGACGGACU